rnacentral:rRNA from 1 species
AGUCGAGCGAGCUGAAUUCAAAGAUUCCUUCGGGAUGAUUUGUUGGACGCUAGCGGCGGAUGGGUGAGUAACACGUGGGCAAUCUGCCCUAAAGACUGGGAUACCACUUGGAAACAGGUGCUAAUACCGGAUAACAACAUGAAUCGCAUGAUUCAAGUUUGAAAGGCGGCGUAAGCUGUCACUUUAGGAUGAGCCCGCGGCGCAAUAGCUAGUUGGUGGGGUAAAGGCCUACCAAGGCAAUGAUGCGUAGCCAAGUUGAGAGACUGAUCGGCCACAUUGGGACUGAGACACGGCCCAAACUCCUACGGGAGGCAGCAGUAGGGAAUCUUCCACAAUGGACGCAAGUCUGAUGGAGCAACGCCGCGUGAGUGAAGAAGGUUUUCGGAUCGUAAAGCUCUGUUGUUGGUGAAGAAGGAUAGAGGCAGUAACUGGUCUUUAUUUGACGGUAAUCAACCAGAAAGUCACGGCUAACUACGUGCCAGCAGCCGCGGUAAUACGUAGGUGGCAAGCGUUGUCCGGAUUUAUUGGGCGUAAAGCGAGCGCAGGCGGAAUGAUAAGUCUGAUGUGAAAGCCCACGGCUCAACCGUGGAACUGCAUCGGAAACUGUCAUUCUUGAGUGCAGAAGAGGAGAGUGGAAUUCCAUGUGUAGCGGUGGAAUGCGUAGAUAUGUGGAAGAACACCAGUGGCGAACGCGGCUCUCUGGUCUGCAACUGACGCUGAGGCUCGAAAGCAUGCGUAGCGAACAGGAUUAUAUACCCUGGUAGUCCAUGCCGUACACGAUGAGCGCUAGGUGUUGCGGACUUUCCGGUCCUCAAUGCCGCAGCACACGCAUUAAGCGCUCCGCCUGGGGAGUACGACCGCAAGGUUGAAACUCACAGGAAUUGACGGGUGCGCGCACAAACAAUGGAGCAUGUGGUUGAAUUCUAAGCAACGCGAAGAACCUUACCA